rnacentral:lncRNA from 1 species
UUUGUAAAUGAAGGAUUUAUUAGGAAUAAGGGUCAUUAUUCCAUAUAUGUAAUGUGUGAAUAUAAAAUUUACUCUUUAAUCCAAUUACAAGAUGACCUCAAUUAAAAGUUGCUUAUAAUGGGUAGUAUAAAGUGAAAGUAGAAAUAACAAGAAUAAAAGAAGCAUAACACAAAACAAUUAGAAUAAGUGCAAUCAAGCAAUUAUAUA